rnacentral:rRNA from 1 species
CAUAGGUUAAUGAGGCGAACCGGGGGAACUGAAACAUCUAAGUACCCCGAGGAAAAGAAAUCAACCGAGAUUCCCCCAGUAGCGGCGAGCGAACGGGGAGGAGCCCAGAGCCUGAAUCAGCAUGUGUGUUAGUGGAAGCGUCUGGAAAGGCGCGCGAUACAGGGUGACAGCCCCGUACACAAAAGCGCAUGUGCUGUGAGCUCGAUGAGUAGGGCGGGACACGUGGUAUCCUGUCUGAAUAUGGGGGGACCAUCCUCCAAGGCUAAAUACUCCUGACUGACCGAUAGUGAACCAGUACCGUGAGGGAAAGGCGAAAAGAACCCCGGCGAGGGGAGUGAAAAAGAACCUGAAACCGUGUACGUACAAGCAGUGGGAGCACAGGUUUACCUGUGUGACUGCGUACCUUUUGUAUAAUGGGUCAGCGACUUAUAUUCUGUAGCAAGGUUAACCGAAUAGGGGAGCCGGAGGGAAACCGAGUCUUAAUUGGGCGUUAAGUUGCAGGGUAUAGACCCGAAACCCGGUGAUCUAGCCAUGGGCAGGUUGAAGGUUGGGUAACACUAACUGGAGGACCGAACCGACUAAUGUUGAAAAAUUAGCGGAUGACCUGUGGCUGGGGGUGAAAGGCCAAUCAAACCGGGAGAUAGCUGGUUCUCCCCGAAAGCUAUUUAGGUAGCGCCUCGUGAAUUCAUCUCCGGGGGUAGAGCACUGUUUCGGCUAGGGGGCCAUCCCGGCUUACCAACCCGAUGCAAACUGCGAAUACCGGAGAAUGUUAUCACGGGAGACACACGGCGGGUGCUAACGUCCGUCGUGAAGAGGGAAACAACCCAGACCGCCAGCUAAGGUCCCAAAGUCAUGGUUAAGUGGGAAACGAUGUGGGAAGGCCCAGACAGCCAGGAUGUUGGCUUAGAAGCAGCCAUCAUUUAAAGAAAGCGUAAUAGCUCACUGGUCGAGUCGGCCUGCGCGGAAGAUGUAACGGGGCUAAACCAUG